AUCCAACUGAUGAGUCCCAAACAGAACGAAACGCGCGUCCUGGAU
rnacentral:hammerhead_ribozyme from 1 species